rnacentral:rRNA from 1 species
GCUUACGGCCAUACCACCCUGAACACGCCCGAUCUCGUCCUCUCGGAAGCUAAGCAGGGUCGGGCCUGGUUAGUACUUGGAUGGGAGACCGCCUGGGAAUACCAGGUGCUGUAAGCU